AGAUUGAACGCUGGCGGCAUGCUUUACACAUGCAAGUCGAACGGCAGCACGGGGGCAACCCUGGUGGCGAGUGGCGAACGGGUGAGUAAUGCUUCGGAAUCUACCCACGGGUGGGGAAUAACCAACCGAAAGGUUGGCUAAUACCGCAUAUGCCCUACGGGGUAAAGCGGGGGAUCGUAAGACCUCGCGCUGGUGGAUGAGCCUACGUCCGAUUAGUUAGUUGGUGGGGUAAAGGCCUACCAAGGCCACGAUCGGUAGCUGGUCUGAGAGGACGACCAGCCACACUGGGACUGAGACACGGCCCAGACUCCUACGGGCGGCAGC
rnacentral:rRNA from 1 species